rnacentral:tRNA from 1 species
CCCUUGAUAGCUCAGUUGGCAGAGCGAUGGACUGUAAUUGUUACUCCUGAAUCAUUUCAGAUUAUCCACAGGUCGCCGGUUCAAAUCCGGCUCGAGGGA